GAUCAGCUCAGGAUGAACGCUAGCUACAGGCUUAACACAUGCAAGUCGAGGGGAAACGACAUCGAAAGCUUGCUUUUGAUGGGCGUCGACCGGCGCACGGGUGAGUAACGCGUAUCCAACCUGCCCAUCACUUGGGAAUAACCUUGCGAAAGUAAGACUAAUGCCCAAUGAUAUCCCACGAAGGCAUCCGAAUGGGAUUAAAGAUUUAUCGGUGAUGGAUGGGGAUGCGU
rnacentral:rRNA from 1 species